GGCAAGACUAAGAACAAGAAGAGUAACUGGAAUUUUGUUUUCAGAGAAGAAACGACUAGGUGAAACGUUUCUAACAAAUACUAGUGAAGGUAGCUUGGGAGUCUUUAUUCUGAACAUCGCAGUAGGAAUAAACGCCUUGCGUCCGUUAACACGCACAAUGAGCGGCAGAAACAUUCUGCAAAUUAGGUGGUACCGCGUAGCUAUUACGUCCUAAAA
rnacentral:ncRNA from 1 species